UACCGAGGUCUCAAGCGUUGUUCGGAUUCAUUGGGCGUAAAGGGUGUGUAGGUGGCGCGCUAAGUCGGGUGUGAAAUUUCGGAGCUUAACUCCGAAACUGCAUUCGAUACUGGCGUGCUUGAGGACUGGAGAGGAGACUGGAAUUCAUGGUGUAGCAGUGAAAUGCGUAGAGAUCAUGAGGAAGACCAGUGGCGAAGGCGGGUCUCUGGACAGUUCCUGACACUGAGACACGAAGGCUAGGGGAGCAAACGGG
rnacentral:rRNA from 1 species